AAUAAAAUAACCAACAAAAAAUAAAUGUGUCUGAGGAAGGCAUUUAUUUCUUUCCUUAACUAAUCACAGAUGAAUUAUUAAUCACCAUUAUGUUUAAUGUAUUCAAUAUGCAGAAUCAGUUAGCUGGGGUCUUAAUUUUUUUGUGUGUCAGCCUUAUGUGGGAAAGAUUAAAACUCACACACAAUGGAAAACUUUAGCUCUGCCAUCUCACACGUGUCCGUGUCCGUGUCCAUGGGCUCAAAACCCUGUAAUUUAGUGACAGACACCCAGGUCUGUGGUUGUGUUUCUGAGCACUCUCCCCCAUGCUGAGCUUGAAUCUAGUUUAACUGUCACAAUCAUCACAAAAGUUUUUGAAUGUCAGGAGUCUCCUGAGAAUCCUAGAACUCAUUAUAGUCAUGAAAGGAGUUGAUUUUGUAACUAUAUUCUCUACAGAGACUUGGGUAAUUCUGGAGUCUCCUUUCCCUAGCAUUUACAGAUGUGGAUUGGUGUACAUAAGGGAUUAUAGAGAUCAAUCUAGAAACUGUCUAUGAACAAAUGGCUAAAGAGUGCAGUAUGUAUUGUAGUUCUAUUUCUAUCUUCCUUCUUACAUUGUCUUUUUUGACAAAAAUCUAGACAGUUUUCCAAAGGAGUUUCUCGUUUUUACCUCACCCUUAAUCUAACAUCAUAUUGUGCCUUAAUCUAACAUCAUUUUAAUUCUUUAUUUUCUCUGACUGAGGCAUCCAGCUCCCCAAUUAUAAGUCUGAUAAUCUCUUUCCCAGUGCUUCUCUAUGAGUUAUUAUUUUUCAUCCUACUGCAUUUUCCUUAUUUUCUUAUUUCUGGUGAGUCUAACCUCCUAUUGAACUCAAUUUUCACAUCCCAUAUUGUUGUCCUUGUUUCUUUCUGGCAUCCACUAUUAUUUUCUUGCCCACGAAUCAUUUUGUUCCUGGCCUCUUUGAGUUGAUUUCCAUGGUUUACAAGCUUUGAUCUCUUUGAUCAUGACUCUGGGUACUCAAUUCUUUAUCUUGGAUAUCAUGUAAAUUGCCAUCCUUAUGGGAUACAUAUGGUUUGUGGCUUAGCCAAAGGCAUUAUAUCUUCAUUUUACUUUGUUUAGGGUAUUUGUUCUAAGCACCAGAAUUCAGAGGGAUUGAUGACUUUUGAGCAUCUUUAGUCCAGCAUACUAGACUCACAAUGUGACAAGUUAGGCAGGAGAAUUUGGAUGUAAAUGGUUCAGAACCCAGGUGCAGUAUCCUACUACACCCACUUCUGGUCUAGUCUGGCAGCAAGCUUAUGGGGAAGAAAAUGUAGAGUAGGUCCUGGGCAUCCUGACAGCCUCAGUUGUGUGGAAGGCAGCCUGCAACAGACUUGGAGGAGUGGUUCCUGAGGGGAGGAUGGGCAGACGUGCCUGUUCAGAUGAGUUUUAAAAAAGACAAAAUAAAAACCAAAGGAAAAAAUCAAUCAAUCAUGCAACCAAAAAUCCAAAUCAACAAAAAAAGCUGUGAAGAAUUGGAAACCUAAUUAAUUAAAAGGUCCCAAAGUAGGUGAACUUAGAAGAAUUAAGUAACAGGAAGCUGCUGAAUAUUGGGCUCCAGAAGGAGUUGCUGGGAGAAACUCAGAAGUGACAGGAAGUUCUGCCAUUCCUGUGUUCUCAAUGUGUCUCACCUUUCUCUGGUUCAGGAAGUCCUGGUGGGAGACUAGUCCUGAGUGUUGGAGGUACCUGAAAACUUCCUUAAGCUGCAGUUGCUGUGCCAGCUUCCUAGGACAUUCAUCAGCUGGUCCUGUCACCUGCCAGACUUCUGCCCGAUUCUCAGUACCGUGUCGGUGCAGGCACGGACAAGAGGGGUUGGCCAAGAGAGAACGAAGAGCCAAGAAAAAGCACCUAAGCAAAAAUGUCUUCAUGGGUAUGUUAAUUGGCACUACAGUUAGCCUUUCCUCCUGAUUUCUUUGAAUCCUUCCAAGUUUCAGCUGAGCAUGGACUGAGAGGAUGAUAUCAGGCCAAGAUAUUUUUAUAAGUGGAAAACUUAUUGUACAGUAAGGUAGAAGAAGACAGCAGCUUUUGAAUCAUUAUGACUGCUCACUUAAGAAAAUGGCUCCUCGGUUCAUGAAAAGCUCUCUGCCCAUGCACAUUUAUGAUUUGUUGGGUUCUGCAAUGUGGACUUCUUGCAGUUGUGGGAAUGCUUAGACCCUGAAUUCACAGCUUUUUUCAGAGACCCACAGUUGCAGAAGUUCAAUACUCUGGAUUCUGUGGGUCACAGUAAUUUUCUUGCAGUGUUAUUUGCUCCUCUUCGUGUUAUUUAUAAAACGACUCUGCAUGAAUGUUAACUGAGUGACUAACUCUCACAUCUCAUAGGUUAAAGUGAAAUCUUCAGAGCAAAGAGACAUUUUCAUGAUAUCACCUCUUUCCUUCAUGUUAAUCCUAUUGUCAGAUGUUGGCAUCUUUCAUUUUGGUUCCAUGAAAAGUUCCAGGUUCUUUUUGAGCAAUAUUUUCUGAUUUUCAAGUGUCUAUAUCCUCAGCCAAAUCUGUAUAACUAUAAAUCAAACAAAGAGCUCUGGGAUGGUAAUGGCCAUCUAACAAAGACUUCUAACAAAGCAUCCAGAUUUAUUAGAGGGAUUGAACAAGAGGUGGGAUGGGGCUCAUCUGUCAGUAGAAGGAAGGCAUGAAUUUGGUUUUGUCAGAUUCCAUUACAUCAAUUAUUCUGGA
rnacentral:lncRNA from 1 species